AACGGGCGACGGCCGGCCAACAUGGUCUGCUGCGUCAUCCUUGGGUCACUUUGCAUCUGGGCGACCGGAUCGUUGUUUGGUCUGUUUUUUUGGCCUCGGCGCAGCGGUCGGUCGGCCUUUUCGAGAGGCGUCUUGGUGAGGGGAGGGGGCGUGCGCCCGGCAGGCGGACCAGAUCGACAGGUUUGCAGCGGCCGCCGCGCGCUACGUCUGUGACCCCGCCCUUCACGCCAAACCACAGAAAAGGUAAGAAAAAUAUUUUUUCAUUUUGUUUGUCUGGUCGUUCACACUUUUUCCUUUGCUUUUUUGUUCGUCGCGGGCAGUGUAGGCCUUUGCAGUCGCCGCCCGAUGCAGCAGGAGCAGAGCGCAGCAAUAUACGGUUCGUCGUUCUUUAUUUCCGAGUCUGGCAGCAGGGCGUGGACGACCAACCAAAGGCGACGACAUCCGCGCACCAAGGAACUCCCAGGACGCACAGGCGAGGCUUUGUGGCCCGACGGUUUGUUGCCUUUUUCGUUGCUCUCCGUCUUGUUUUUGUUUGGGCGAAGAGACAGGGCAAAUUGCCCGCACCAAAGCAAAUACGGCGGCAACGCAACAGCGCGCUGCCCCCGCCAGAUUUUUUCGCGUCUUUUUUUAAUGCAUUAAAAAAAGGAGAAGGACAGAUGGGAG
rnacentral:lncRNA from 1 species